ACUGAUAUUUGAGGAGAGCAUCUGCUCCAAACAGUAUCUUUUUGUCCUUAAACACAUCUUUUCUACUUUUUCUACUUGCCGCAGGAUUUUCUGCCUAAUUAUAUUAGUAAAGCGGAACCAACAAAUAUCCCCCAAAUCAGCAGUGCCUAUGGCUGCAUGAAUUUGGUAGCAACUGUUCUGCACCCAUUUAAAAUUAAUACUUCCCAUGGAUUUAUUCAGGGUCAAGCUCCCACUGAGAACUCUUAAUUGCAUGCUGAUACUAGCUCGCUUCCCAGUAGCAGAAUCUGUAAUUUUUUUUCUAAAUUUCUCCUGUGUUUCACUGUCUUUGAAAGACACUUAUGCUGGAGUGAAAUUAAAAAAUAAAGUGUAGGUACCUCGGGAACUUUAUUCCUUUUAUUUCUUUUAUUUCUGUGACAGAGCCUUGCUUUUAAAAUAGCAUAAUAGUUGUUCACAAGGUAGUGCAUUAGAAGAAAAAAAAACAAUGGGAAACUAACUUCUGAGAGUCUAUAUAUAGUGCACUAAAUGGUAACUUUUUUUCUUGCUAACUUGAGUAUCUUGUCAUAUGUUAAUUAAAUGCCUGGAAAAAAUCUUUAGGAGAUAAUAAGAAGAUAAUAGUGCAUAUAUUUUAAUGUAAAAUGGAAGCAUUACAUGGUAUCUCCUGUCUUACUUUUAAAGCUCAGUACGAAUUCUUUGUUCAAACAAUUGAUCUUAAUGUACUUAAAAGUAGGACAAUUUAAAAGUGAAUUAGAGAGUUGAAAAGCAAGCUUUCUGGAUCCAAGUGAUCUAAUCCAUCUUCAUGGUUUGAAUUCCCUGUUUUCCACUUGUUUAUGCAUCAUUUCAGGAUUUAUGUGAAGACUGUCCUUGUUGUCCUAGUUCUUAUUUACCUAUUGGACCCUAUUGGGAAACAUUGGAGCUCACAUAUUUGUUCUUCGUUAUUUUCCCAAUUUUUUUCUCUCGCUUUUGGAAACCUGCUUCCUGUGUUUCUGAUCAGUGCAGAACUAUAGUCUGUGUGCACUCAUGCACAUGUGUUGGGAAGCUGUCUGCAAUGGCCGUAAUGAACUGAAUCGUUACUUGUGGUGCACAAGAUCGAAGAGGGACUCAGCUUCUGAUUAUCCCCAUGACUGCACUGACGGGAAUUUGUCCUCAUAAAGGCUGAUACUUGCAUUGUAGCAGGACUUGUUCCCUUGUCCCACACAAAGGAGUUUCACCACUCAUCUUUGUCCUCUCCAUCACUAAUUGAGGAGUGCUCUUCAGUCUCAGAAGGAAUCCUAGGCAAAGCUGUGCUGUUCUGACACUGUUGUUGUUUUGCAAGACUGUAUAUUCACUUACAUGGAAACCAGAUAACGGAAAGAUUUUUGGAGCGUAAGAGCAGGCUAGCCAAUAUAUUCAACCUGUAAGCUCGUGAACAUCCUGUCUCUUUUGCUACCUUAACAUCUUGUGUGGUCCACUGAAGUACUUCAGCAGAGGAAUAUGUAUUUCAGAGCACAGAUAAAACAGGUGUUUUUUUUUAAGUUGCUUUCUGAUGUGACUUCCUUUCUUUCUUCCUCUCCCUCUUUUCCUUACUGUCUCCUGGGAAGAGCAACUUGACACUGUACUCCAUUGAGACCAGUUCUCACAUCUGUUCAAAGCAUUAAGUUUGGGAAGGCAGUCCUGGCUUGCAGCUCUAGCUGUGACUGUGCUCAUUUGGAAUGAGUGCUGCUGCUGGCCUCCAGGAUGUUUGUUUCUAUGUAGCAUUCAUUAAGCCUAUGCAAAUAGGCCCCUUGAAAUCCCAAACACUUUCCACUAGCAGUCCAGCGUGUUGUCAUUUGCAGUAUCGAGAAUCAUCAAUUUAUUUACACAGUAUUUGAGUGCUGCAGCUUGAAUCAGAAUACAGGAAUUCCCCUUUUCCUGUGAUAUACGACAGGUGUUUUUCAAAAGAAUUUGUCUUGUAUAUUGUAGCAGAAAUGUCACAACUUGAAGCAGUGAUUGAGCACCUGGUGUGAAGGCAGGGCCAACCCAGGGCAGCUCAGGUGCAUGCAAUGUACCUGAGUGACUGGAAGGGGUGGAGCCAGGAACCCUCCUGCAAAGAGUUGGCAGUGGAGGUGAGGGUAUCCAUGUGUACCUGAGCUCUUCUGAAGUGAAGUGACUGGUCCAGAGAAGUUUCCUGUCACAUCUCUUCCGUGAUUUGGUUUUAAAGUUCCCAGAAAGACUUCAUACUCCUGGAUGAACAAGCCUAUUUGUAGCAAUGCAAGACUCGAGAUCAAGAUGCUUGUGGAUGACAAACGGAAGAGCUGAGAUGAAUACCCAUCCCACUGAUUUGGUGGCAUGGUUGACUUUGGAAGCAACCUGGUUUUUGGAGAGAUUACUAAUUGCCCCUGGAAACAAACGUGCAAAUAUCUGUGUGAACUUGCAGGGGAAGGCAGCAGCAAAAGGUUGUGUGUCACAGCAAACAGUACUGCAAAUGUGCUGAAAAAUAGUUAAAAGUCUGUGUUUUGCAUAGCUUGCUUUGUACCUCAGAUCUGCCUUCGCAGUAUUUGGGGAGUGUGUAAUGCACAUGGGAUGUAAUAUAGGUGUAGUUUAAGUUUGGUUGUAGGGUGCUGUGCAGGAGCUGUAUCCCACCUAUACUGCCAUGUUUCUUCUCUGCCAAUGUGGUGUAAAGCCACAGAGGGCCAUUUCAGAUUGCUAUUAAUGAAACUGAUUCAAGAGCUUUGCUCUACUCCCCUCUUGUUUUUGUUGCUGCAAACUGCCCAUAAGCUUAAUAGGAAACUGAGGAUACUUGCAAGCCAUUCUGUUGAAAGGCAGCUAUAAACAGCUCUGCCUGUGAAAUGCUUGGAGAAUAUUCCUGCUAAAAAUGCUCCUGGAGAUGUGAUGUUUCUGUUGCACUUUGCGAUCCCUGAGAGAACACGUGCCCCCUUUGAUGUGAGACACUGCAAAGUUCACUGAAAGGGCAAGGCUCCCACCUUGCAUGUAGGCUGGCUUUACAAUGCAGGACACAUCCAGCUGCAGAGGAAAAGCCAAGGCUGCUUAGCAGAGUCCCACAGUAGUCAUUACAGCUCCGAAACCCUGAUCUGACCAGAACCCUGUUUUUUUUCCCCACAGACCAUCCAAGAAAUAAUGACUAGUCAGUGAUUGAUGCUUGUUCUUCAUUUCCUUUCAGAUAUUUUGAGGUUAAACAUAAUGCUGUGAUUUGAAAUUCAUGCGGGAAACAGAAGUCUUGUUGCCGUACAAUCCUUCUGCUGGCUUCUCAGAUGCAAACAGGCCUUGCUGCCAACAGUUUUACCAGAUGAACUUUCCCCAGUUUUCCUUUGAAGUGUAAAUUGCAUACUGGUCAAAUUGGCGAAAACAUGAUCUCUUUUCCUCCUUUCUUGUGUCUCAGCCUUUCAGUUUCAGUCGUUCCUGCUUAUCAAGAAGUCUGGGCCACAGAUUAUUGCACUUGUUAGCUGCAGUGAUGGAAUUGUGAAAAGUGCCAUAUGACUGACAGGCACGAAAAUGAAUCCCACAGCACAAAAGUGAAGACUUUCCACUUUUCUUGGCAGCCUACUGAUUACAGCUGUGCUUUGCUUAAGAGACAGAAUUUCUCAGUCUCGGAAGCUGAUUGUGGUCAGUCCUGAAAGCAACAUCUGUGUGUGUGUUCUCUUGAUUCCUGGGUACUGCUGUGCUGAAGCAGGGCCUGUCCCACCACUCUCUUCACAUGCUACCUGCUGGCAGUGCAAUGUUUUGGGGCAAUAAAACUCAUGUGGAGUACAAAACAGGGAGAAUAAUCUGUAGCAUGCUGUAAUAGCGAUGUUUUUUGGAUUUGAGAAAUUAAGUGAUCAGAGUCC